AACUGAGACUAUGUGCACACGGUAACGUUUUCGAGCGUUUUCAUUUGUGUUUUCACGCUAAAACGGAUACAAACACUAUCAAUUUACGACAGAAGUUGUAGUUUAUUUAAUAUAUCCGAGAUAUUUUCCUUUGGGCUGUGCGAAUACGGCGUCAAAACGAUUUUACGGACAAAAACGUUUUUGAAAACGCUGCAAAACGACGCCCGUGUGCAC
rnacentral:lncRNA from 1 species